rnacentral:rRNA from 1 species
GACGAACGCUGGCGGCGUGCUUAACACAUGCAAGUCGAACGGAAAGGCCCUGCUUUUGUGGGGUGCUCGAGUGGCGAACGGGUGAGUAACACGUGAGUAACCUGCCCUUGACUUUGGGAUAACUUCAGGAAACUGGGGCUAAUACCGGAUAGGAGCUCCUGCUGCAUGGUGGGGGUUGGAAAGUUUCGGCGGUUGGGGAUGGACUCGCGGCUUAUCAGCUUGUUGGUGGGGUAGUGGCUUACCAAGGCUUUGACGGGUAGCCGGCCUGAGAGGGUGACCGGCCACAUUGGGACUGAGAUACGGCCCAGACUCCUACGAGAGGCAGCAGUGGAGAAUAGUGCACAAUGGGCGGAAGCCUGAUGCGGCAACGCCGCGUGCGGGAUGACGGCCUUCGGGUUGUAAACCGCUUUCGCCUGUGACGAAGCGUGAGUGACGGUAAUGGGUAAAGAAGCACCGGCUAACUACGUG